rnacentral:rRNA from 1 species
AGAGUUUGAUUAUGGCUCAGGAUGAACGCUGGCGGCGUGCUUAACACAUGCAAGUCGAACGGGGUUAUCAUUUUUGAAGCGAUUAGCUUGCUAAGAGUGGAAAAGUUGAUAACUUAGUGGCGGACGGGUGAGUAACGCGUGGGUAACCUGCCUUACACAGGGGGAUAACACUUAGAAAUAGGUGCUAAUACCGCAUAAGCGCACAGUCCCGCAUGGGACAGAGUGAAAAACAUUAGUGGUGUAAGAUGGACCCGCGUCUGAUUAGCUUGUUGGCGGGGUAACGGCCCACCAAGGCGACGAUCAGUAGCCGGCCUGAGAGGGUGGACGGCCACAUUGGGACUGAGACACGGCCCAAACUCCUACGGGAGGCAGCAGUGGGGGAUAUUGGACAAUGGGGGAAACCCUGAUCCAGCGACGCCGCGUGAGUGAAGAAGUAUUUCGGUAUGUAAAGCUCUAUCAGCAGGGAAGAAAGAAAUGACGGUACCUGAGUAAGAAGCCCCGGCUAACUACGUGCCAGCAGCCGCGGUAAUACGUAGGGGGCAAGCGUUAUCCGGAAUUACUGGGUGUAAAGGGAGCGUAGACGGUAAU